UUUUGAGUUACGGCAUCAGCGUGGAGUACGUCUUCGAUUCGAGACAUCACUGUGAAGGCUAGGCUUUCCAGUAUUCUGGAGUAGCUCUCCAAAAUGGCGUGCCCUACGUCCUGCAAUGGAGGAAAAACUUUGAUUGACAUGUACCUUUGAGCAAGAGGUCAAAGAUUCAAAUCCCUCCGAGUUAUGUAUAGGUUGAUUAAGUGACAGCAUCUUCAUCCUUGGUCAACUUCAGCUUCAGAGACUUUUCAGGUCGAUUGGUUGGUGUCAGCGGCUUCUCUGCAGAGUUGUUG